UAGGGAAUCUUGCGCAAUGGGCGAAAGCCUGACGCAGCCAUGCCGCGUGAAUGAUGAAGGUCUUAGGAUUGUAAAAUUCUUUCACCGGGGAAGAUAAUGACGGUACCCGGAGAAGAAGCCCCGGCUAACUUCGUGCCAGCAGCCGCGGUAAUACGAAGGGGGCUAGCGUUGCUCGGAAUUACUGGGGCGUAAAGGGCGCGUAGGCGGAUGUUUAAGUCGGGGGUGAAAGCCCGGGGCUCAACCUCGGAAUUGCCUUCGAUACUGGACAUCUUGAGUACGGGAGAGGUGAGUGGAACUCCGAGUGUAGAGGUGAAAUUCGUAGAUAUUCGGAAGAACACCAGUGGCGAAGGCGACUCACUGGCCCGUUACUGACGCUGAGGCGCGAAAGCGUGGGGAGCAAACAGGAUUAGAUACCCUGGUAGUCCACGCCGUAAACGAUGAGUGCUAGUUGUCGGCAUGCAUGCAUGUCGGUGACGCAGCUAACGCAUUAAGCACUCCGCCU
rnacentral:rRNA from 1 species